UACGGGGGGGGCAAGCGUUGUUCGGAAUUACUGGGCGUAAAGGGCGCGUAGGCGGUCUGCUAAGUUGGAUGUGAAAACUCUGGGCUUAACCCAGAGCCUGCAUUCAAUACUGACAGGCUAGAGUUCUGGAGGGGAUAGCGGAAUUCCUGGUGUAGCGGUGAAAUGCGCAGAUAUCAGGAAGAACACCCGUGGCGAAGGCGGCUCUCUGGGACGGUACUGACGCUGAGACGCGAAAGCGUGGGGAGCGAACAGG
rnacentral:rRNA from 1 species